AUCCUCACCAUGGGCUACAAUCCAAAAUUAGAUCAAGUGCUUCAUUUGCAGUUAGUCACUUGCACAUUGCGGUGUUACCACAGAGUGGCAUAUGCAGACAGAUACAGUAAGUCUUAUUUAUAGACCAAAGCUAAUAAGAAGUGAUCAGUAGAUGUUUUGUGUUAUGCAUGAGACUGUGAAUGUGGGACUAUUGUCAUGAUCCUGGUUUCAUGUCUGUCAUGUCUUUGUGUUGUGUGUUUUAUUUUAAAGGUUUUCCCCUCUUGUGUCAUUGUGUUCACCUGUUGCCCCUGUGUUUCUCCUCCCCUCUCCAGCUGUGUGUUGUUUGGUGAUUAACCUUGUGUAUUUAGUCUUGGUUCCCCUUUUGUCUCUUGUUCGGUCGUCGUCAUUUCUUCCCUGAUGUUGUACAUGUUACCUGCCAGUUCCUGCCCGUUCGUCUGUCUGCUCCUGUUCCCAGUGUCCCUGUAUCCCCUGCUCCGCUGAGGGACAGCACAGUAUUUCUGUUGAUCCAGCCAACAGACUCUCUCAGGGAGGUGAAGAGGGCUGCAGUGGGAGAACUAAACUGAAUAGCAACGAUGAAUACAUCGAAGUGGCCGCCAUCAGCAGAGACAUCAGGAGGAAGAAGAUUGUCACUAAUGUACCUUCACAGCAGUGUAUUUUAUUCAAAGUAAAAUUAAUGAGCUAAAUCCAUGCCAUGUUUUCUUAAAAGAGCUUCACACAGCAAAUAUUGACUGGAAAGAUGGCAGACUACACACUCCUCAUCAGUGUGGUCCAUUAUAAUGAUUAUUGUCUUUCUCUUCAACGCUAUGUCUUUUGGUGUGUGUGUGUGUUGGUUUGUUUGAAGAAAACCUUGAAUGACCUUCGUUCAAAUCUUGUCAGUAUCUUAAAACCUUUAUAAUUAAUUAUCCUUACAAGUCGAGAAAAGUGAACAUGUACAGCAGUGAAAUGUUAAAUAAUUGAAUGCAUUGAAACUGAAUACAUUUAUUUUCAUUCGCAUAUCGAGAAGAGCUUUCCACUGCAGCCUACACAGUGCCAAGAGGAUGACAUUCGCGCUGCUGUUACCUCCUUGGCCCCCAUGGUCAGUUGCAUGUGAUCGAAAAACCUCCAAAUGCAGGUGUCCAUGAAUCGCCAUCAGAUUCCCAAACCAACUCAAAGGACUCCUGAUCCCUUUCAAGACCAUGACUUUUCUUACAAAUAGCUCAAAUUUGUCAGAACCCGACUGAAUAGUGAGCCUAGAGAUGACCUUAUCGUAUGUAUGUUUGUAUAUAAUUUUCUCUUAACUUUAUAGACACAUAUGCUGUAUACUGUACAUAAAUAUAUGUUUUUCAUUUUUUGUAUUUUAUUGCUUGUUGAUA